AUUGAACGCUGGCGGCAGGCCUAACACAUGCAAGUCGAGCGAGCGGCGGGCGGGUGAGUAAUGUUUGGGGACUGCCCGUUAGAGGGGGAUAACUACUGGAAACGAUAGCUAAUACCGCAUACUAUCGGAUUACCCAUUUGGGAUUAGCUAGUUGGUGAGGUAAUGGCUCACCUAGGCGACGAUCCCUAGCUGGUCUGAGAGGAUGAUCAGCCACACUGGGACUGAGACACGGCCCAGACUCCUACGGAGGCAGCAGUGGGGAAUAUUGCACAAUGGGCGCAAGCCUGAUGCAGCCAUGCCGCGUGUAUGAAGAAGGCCCUAGGGUUGUAAAGUACUUUCAGUCGGGAGGCGUUACCGACAGAAGAAGCACCGGCUAACUCCGUGCCAGCAGCCGCGGUAAUAC
rnacentral:rRNA from 1 species